GGGGCCAUAGCUCAAUUGGCAGAGCGCCGCCUUUGCAAGGCGGAGGUUAGGGGUUCGAUUCCCCUUGGCUCCA
rnacentral:tRNA from 1 species